rnacentral:rRNA from 1 species
UACGUAGGGGGCUAGCGUUGUCCGGAUUUAUUGGGCGUAAAGAGCGUGUAGGCGGCCUGGUAGGUCUGCUGUGAAAACUCGAGGCUUAACCUCGAGAUGUCAUCGGAAACCAUCUGGCUAGAGUCCGGAAGAGGAGAGUGGAAUUCCUGGUGUAGCGGUGAAAUGCGCAGAUAUCAGGAAGAACACCAAUGGCGAAAGCAGCUCUCUGGGACGGUACUGACGCUGAGACGCGAAAGCGUGGGGAGCGAACAGG